rnacentral:misc_RNA from 1 species
UUGCAAUUCAAGUGUCAAAUAAGUUAGGCUACUUUUAUUUACUAUCCGAAAGUUGAAAUUAAGGACGGCUGGCAAUGAUCAACUAGAUAUGGAAGGACCUGGUGUCACUACCUUUGCGUCGAUAGAAGAGUUAAUUUAUUUGUUUGUUUUUAUUUAGCCUGCAACAAUGUCCCUUUGAAUCAUUAUCUAUGAAUUUGAGUGUGUUGAACAAGGUUAACCUGAAAUCCGAUUGCGAGGGCAGUAUAGCUCGCCCUGGCAUGUACAGGGAGUGGGCCUCCCUGAGCCCUCGGCUGCUCAAUGGCAGUGAAGAAGGGCACAGUGUGUUGGAAAAGUUUCCCGGCAAUGCUGGUAAAGAUGUUGCCCUGGCAAUCAUCCGUCAGCUGGCCUCCAAUGUUGGUAUUUCACAGCCUCCGCAACCGAGCAAUCUGAUUACUGACAGAGAAGUACAAUGGUGCAUGGAAGUGAUAUGUUUUGGCCUUAGUCUUCCUCUCAGUGAACAUGAUACCAUUCGGGAUUGUGUCAAUGUUUAUUGUGAGUGGCUCUCUGCACUUCAACCUUCUCCGAAAAUAAGUGUACCAAAACCAGUUGUUGAAGACCCUGAUUUAUACGCCCGAAGAAUUAUUGCUCACUUUCACAAUUUAUUUAUUCCACGUAAAGGGGAAGGGGCUGACACAAUAAACCGCCAGGCAGUGCUUUGUCACCGAGUUCUGCGCACACUUCAACACAUAGCUCAAACCUCAACAACAUUGUCUCGUGACACAUGGGAGGCACUUCUUCUGUUUUUACUUGCUAUUAAUGAUACAUUGCUUGCACCUCCCACCGUCAAGGAUGAUGUUGGUGACCAGCUCUGUGAAAGAGUUCUCAGCGUCCUUCUGGAGGUGUGGCUCUUGGCUUGUGCUCGUUGUUUCCCAUCACCUCCACUAUGGAAGACACUUCGAGAAAUGUGUCACAAUUGGAGACAUCGAGUAGCCCUUGUUGAACAGUGGAACAGAGUUAACUUGGCCCUCACUUCAAGACUCAUUCAAUUUAUGUAUGGCCCUACAUUUCCUGAACUGAAAAUACCUGAGGAAGACGCACAGCUUGUUCCAGCAGAUAUGACUCCUGAUUGCAUUUCACAGAGUUGGUUUAGAUUUCUGCAUACCUUGGGAAAUCCUGCUCAGUUGUGUCGACCAGGAGUCAUAUCACAUACUCAAAAAUUUCUACAGUAUGCCCUGGCUUCAGACAGUGUUGUUGAUCCCUGUCAACAUCCCUGUCUGUCUGCUUUACCUGUCAUCUUUCUUAAGGCCAUCAGAGGUGUAGCAGGACAGGUUGAUGCAUUUCUUGGUAUUCCAAAGUCCGCUUUAAUUGGCUUAACAAGCAGCAGAGCUUCCCAUCAUAACCCUCCCACUCCAAACUCAGGACCGUCAUCUACCUCAAGCCUUUCAUCUAUUGUAUCUUUAGGGUCAGAAUUCCGUAAUGCACUAGCACCAUCCAGACCCAAGUGUAACAGUAUCCUCCACUUAUUUGGUGAAUGGUUGUUUGAGGCUGCUCAAAUUGGUUGUGAAUCUGCAUAUGCCAGUCGAGUCAAUGCAACAAGAUCUGAAACAGGGAGCUCGAAGAGGCCGAAUUCUGUACUGAUGGAUUCAACAGCUCGGAAGGGGAGUUCUUCUGUUGUCUCUCUCUCCCAGCCAGGCUCUCUGUCUCUCUCACUUUCAGAUGACACUGAAAGUUUGUCAGCAACAGUGGCUGAUCGUUAUCAAGCGGGCAGAGCAGAGGCUAUGGGGGCUCUUUGUCGUAUAUUUUGUGCAAAGAAAACAGGGGAGGAGAUCUUACCUGUUUACCUUGCAAGAUUCUACCUUACACUUCAACAAGGUCUUCGUGUUGGAGAGGGUUCUGAGUGCAGUGAAGUACUGGCCAGCAUCUUAUUGAACUCUGCAGACUUAUUCCGGCUGGACCUUGAUGGAGUUCAGGUCCUAUUACCGUAUGUCAUUGAUGCACUGGAAGAAGUUCUCCCUGACAAGGAACUCAAAUUAAGGUCAAAUACAGUAUCCAGGACUGAGCUCAGACGUGCUUCUAUUCACCUACUUCUGUCAGUUCUUGUGCUUCCAUUACAUUUUCAGAAUCUUACAAUCAAGGAUUUGAACCCCAACACAGGAAUGGGAUGUUCUGACCGGACUCCUUUGACUUUCUCUCAGCUGAAACCACGCUUGAUGAACCUCCUUAUCAAUGCUUUGCAGGUGGAAUCAGAUCCUCAAAACACGCAAAUGCUCCUUGGAGGAUUAUUGUUAAGUGUUCAAGAUUCUGCAGCAUUUGAGCUAUCAGACCAAGUUUCACAGCCUGAUGCAGGAAAUUCCGGCCUAACCACUAGUGACAGUGCAAGCAAUCUUCUGUCAUCAGAUUCUGCUCAUGCCUUGUUUGUACGGGCAACAUAUUUGGUUUGCCAUCGAUUGAUAUCGAGCUGGAAGACAGAUCUAAACGUAUCAUUAGCUGCUUUGGAGUUGCUGUCAGGACUGGCUCGCAUCUCUAUUAAAGAAACUGAUUCGUUGGAAUGCAAAAGAGCUGUGAAGUGGUUGUGUGAUUACAUUGUCUAUCAAUGCUGGCGUCCUCCUCCAGCUCACUCCAAAGAUCUGCAUUCGACCAUUGUUGCUGCAUUUCAGUGUUGUGCAAUUUGGCUUGUGGCACAUCCAUAUUUGCUGAAAGAUAAAGAAUGCUUAGGAACGGUGCUGGAAGUGGUAGAGUUGGGAAUCUCUGGGUCCAAGUCUGUUGGAAAGCCUGGAGAGCCUGUCAAAAUGAAAGAUGAAAAGGAGCUGAAACCUGCAUCAAUGCGUGUUCGAGACUCUGCUGAAGCUCUACUGACAGUUGUUUUAGAACAGGUGGGAUGUUUUCCAUCACCCUGUGGAGCAGAGUCCCUAUCAUCUUUGUUGGAUGAAGUCUCAUUGCUGCGACACUGCAACUCUUGGCCAACACCUGGUGGUGGUCCUGCUGCUUCUAGUAGAGCAGCUGCAGUCCAGAGGUUCCGGUACUUUGUUCUAGAAAAUUCCACUGUACUAGCGCUAUUGGAAGAGCCUCUAGGGAACGAUCAAGAUCCCCAGCCUACAGUGACAGUUCUCAUUCGGGGUCCAUUUGGGCGGCACGCUUGGGCCAUGCAGCUAAGACAUUUACCUCGACACAAAUCAGGCCUUCCUCACAAAGUGUCAAUGGCAGGAUGCGGAAUGAGUCCAGGACGUCCUGUGCCUAUGGCAGAUCAGAGUACUUAUCAUUCCAGCGCUCAUAGACAUUUUCCAGAAAGUGUUGAUCGUAUUCCACAUUGCAAAAUAGACAAAUCAAUUCCCAGUCUAGAUUCCCUUCUCUCUAAUGAAACAACAGCUAUGGAACACACUCGCUUGGCCCAGUUAAUAGAGAAGCAGGCAUCUUUGGAAGCAGGAGGCAGUUUGGGAGCAAACAGCACACCACUCAGCGCAUCCGCAUCACGCAACGCAUCAUGUCAAGAUGAGCCCUUUGGUGUUUCGGGGGGAUUAGAGAAAGAAUGCACUCCACCUCCGGUUGUGCACGACUUUCAGACUGCCCGGUUAUUUUUGUCUCAUUUUGGUUUCUUGUCCCUUGACUCCCUACAGGAUUGUGUCACUUCACCAGUGCCCCCUCUCACAGCUUUGGAUGCCUGUAACCCAAACUUCUGUGCUGAUCUUGAAGCAUUAGAUAACAUUGGUGUGAGGACAUGUGACACUGCUCAUGUAUUUUAUGUGAGAGCUGGACAGAAGACUGCAUCUGAAAUUGUAGACAAUGUUCUUUCUGAAUCAAGUGUUGAUGCUCAUUUCCUGGAAAUGCUUCUGUGUCUUGGUUGGCCUGUCGAUGUUCACCAACACCCAGGUUGGACGGGGCACAUCAGCACUAGCUGGAAAGUGCACCCUCCUCCAAUUGUUGAACAGUGGGUGAGCACUGACCAUGGAGGAAGCCUGUACAACGGAGACACUCAGGCUCUUUAUUGGGCUGACGUUAGUUCCGAAAUAGCCUUUGUUGUUCCGACAGCGAACAAUAUGGGGAGUGGUUUUCAUGGGACUGAUGCAGAGCGUUCUGAUCCGAACAUGAGCAUAAACACCAGCAGUUGCAGCCUCACAAGUGCUCCUUCCCAACAACAGCAGCAGCUGCCAAGUUCGAGAGGGUGGUACGAGCGAAGUGUCUCUGACUGUGGGGGAGUGAAUGCUGUUGCCCGGAGCCUCAAAAGUUCUGCGAUGCCUGGUGGUCCCGACCGAGGCCGUGACCAAGGUACCGACAGACACACCGCCCUUAACCUGGACAAGCCAAGGGCUUUCUCCCUCGACUUGGACAAAGGCGCCCUCCCCCAGACCCAAACGGGCCCUCCAGGUUCGAGUGAUAGUGGGAGGAGGCGGACAGGCACCUCGAGAGGGGGGCCGCCUCCUCACGCCCCUACCAAAGUCAUGAUAAUUUGGUUGGAAAGCUUUGAGGAUAAUGUUUACGUACCUCUAAGUGACUUGCUGGCAUACACCAGCACAGGUUUGGAAUUGCCGAGUAUUCCCAGUGACUCCUCUCUUUCUGCUGACAAGGACUGUUUUGUCAUUUUUCUUCAUGCACUUCCAAGUGGUCUGUUGAGGGUCAAACUUCAAGGUCCACAGGGACGUAUGAGUUUGGCAACUCCUCUUGUGGACGGUAUGGUUGUUAGCCGACGUGCCUUGGGACCUCUGGUCAGACAGACAGCUUUAAACAUGUGUCGCAGGCGAAGACUGGACAAUGACAGCUACCAACCUCCCCAUGUGAGAAGACGCCUGAAAGUACAGGAGUUAGUGAGCAAGUACCGUACACACAUGACAGAAGCGGAGCUUCUAACCUACCUCUUCCAUGAUCCUCCACUGUGAUUUUUAAAGAAUCUGUGAUUUUUCUGUAUCGACCAAUGCAAGUAUUAGUGUUACACAUGAGUUGUUUUUGUUAUCAGAGAAAAGAUCCAUAAUAUUUUUAUUUAUUUGAUUGUGGGUGUUGUUAUCCUUUUGCUUCACCUUUGUAUUAUUGUUGUCAAGUGUACUGUAAUGGUUUUAGUAUAUAUUUUCUCUCUCUCCUUGGCACAGUACUUUGAUCUGUUAAAGACUGAGCACUGUUAUAUUCACUUUGAAGUCUCUAUUAUUAAUGCUAGCCAUAGCUGUUGACAUCACCACUGCUUAUGGAUUCUGUUGUUCUACUGCUACUUACCAGUUAAAAUUUGUAUUUUUUUCACUUUUGUUUUUAAUGCAAUCUGAUUUUUGUAAUCUAAAAUUCUUCUAUCCUGUAACUGUCAGUUUGCUCUAUAUAAUACUUGUAUUAAAAUGCAUGAAUAUUAUUUUUUUAAAGUAUAUUUCUCAUUAUUAUUGAUCAUGUUUUAACUGUACUUUUGUUCUUUGAGGUACUCUGUUUUAAUAAACCCUAUUGCAAAAUAAA